rnacentral:lncRNA from 1 species
CGCAUCUUUAUAAAGGGCCGCCUUGGGGCGCGAAAAGUUCGUGAGGUGUAGUCGCGGCAACCAGGAGCAGGUGCACCCACCACUAGAAUUUGAACAUCCUAAGAACAGGUAUUUUUGUCUCUGCUUUGCUGAUGUAUCCUCAGCAACCGGAACUGCCUGACAUCUGAUCCUUUCUGUGAGACACCAGGCUGUUGAGGAAGAAUCUAUGGCAACAUUGUAUCUAUUAAUAUACAGCUUCUGUAUUUAUCAGGCCCAGUUCUGGUGAUGAUUUCACUUUUGACAGAAGCUGUCCCUCAAAAGCAAACAUGCAAUAGAAGAAACAGAUCUCAAUGCCAUCCAUCUGCAGUUGUGACAAGCAAAAAAGUCUCCAGACAUGGCCAAAUGUCCCCUGGGGGGCAAAAUCACCCCCAAUUGAGAACUACUGCUCUAAACUCUUGAAAUUAGGUUUGUAGGUACCAAAAGCAGAGCCUCAGAAGAGGGUGAACUGAUGACAGCAACUUCUACUGAGAAGAAAACACCAAAGCUGAGAUAACGCUGACCUCAAAUGCAACACUGUAGGCAAUAAAGAACAAUGGCAUUCGAACAUAAAGCUGUUUCCAAAAUCUACAGUUAUGUAUCGGCCGUACUUGCAUCUUCAGAACUGUUAGAGGGAAAUCACCAACACUUGAUGCCUCUAACCUACUCAUACACGCUAAAUUUCCUUUCUCUUAAUCUUAAGGAAUAACAGAUAAAUAAAAAGAGAAACAGCUUUCUUGCCCAUAGUUUUUUAUUUGAUAUUAGAAAGGAAAAAUAAGCAGCCAAAGCUGUCCCUGAACAUACACCACAGGGAGGAGCUGCACAGAGGGCCCAGCCUUAGUACACAGCUCCUGGUAAGGCCAUUAGCAUGUAACUCAGUAAAACUGAGUAUCUGUGAUUCUUAUCAGCCACCAGUGAUGAGAUGCUUGCUGUGUAUCAGGAAGCCAGAGGCAGCGGUAUAAGUGGAAAAGCCAGAGCCAGACUGCGUG